GGCGCCGGCUCUGGCGCGGAGAGGCGCAGGCCCAGGCUCCACUCCCCAGCUGUGAAAGGGUGAAACAGAACCUACUGGAAUGAAGCUGGCCUCCCAUGGAAUGAAGCUGGCCUCCCGUCUCCUUGAUUUGAAGCAGCUUCUCCACGUUGGUUAUUAUGCCAUUUUUCUAAAUCUAACAUUUUAAAAUUUGUGCCUUUUCUUUCUCUUUUGCUUGACUUCUCAGAGGUUUUUUUAAUGGUCUUUUCAAAGAAGUGGUUUUGGGUUUUAUUUAUCAAGUCUACUUUUAUUAUGGCUGUUUUAAAAUUAAAUACAUUUAUUUCUUGUUUCCCUUAAAAAAGCUUCUUGUAUGUUUACUUAGUUUAUA
rnacentral:lncRNA from 1 species